GGAACAAGCUCAAAGUUGGAAUCUAUCUGGCUUAGCCAGAUCGAAUUGUAAACUUUAGAGUCGUUGUCCAGACCAGCCGAGUAAAUAAGUUCCUUGGAAUAGGACAUCAUGGAGGGUGAGAAUCCCGUCUUUGGCUUGAGCAUUGGUCUUUUGUGAUGCGACUUCAACGAGUCAGGUUGUUUGGGAAUGCAGCCUUAAUUGGGUGGUAAAUCUCACCUAAAGCUAAAUAUUGGCGAGAGACCGAUAGCGAACAAGUACCGUGAGGGAAAGAUGAAAAGAACUUUGAAAAGAGAGUUAAACAGUAUGUGAAAAUUGCUAAAAGGGAACCGUUUGAAGUCAGUCUGGCUGGUCUGCAAUCAGCUUCAAUCUUGGUUGGAGUGCACUUGUAGGCCAUUUUUUUGCCUGCCAACAACAGUUUGUUCUGCAGCAAAAAGGUGUUGAGAAUGUGGCUUUCUCUUCGGAGGAAGUGUUAUAGCUCUUCGCGAAAUACUGUGGUUCAGACUGAGGCUUGCAGUGAAUGCUAUUUGGGCUUUGGGGAUGGAUUGCUCAGUGCUUUGCUUGGUUAGUUUCGGCCGUCAAACGUCGUGCUGGCCAAGUGAAGUCUGACUCGGUUCAUUCACUUUUAAUUC
rnacentral:rRNA from 1 species